CAUGGCAUCCUGCCAUGCUGGAACAGAUGCAGCUUGAGAGUAAUAUAGAGGCUCAGAUUCCAAAGAGGAGGAAGAUGAACCAGAAAAGGCAGGUAGUUUACAGACAUAACCUUUAAGAUAAGAGGGAGGAUUAUGCUGUCUUUGGGACUUUCUGGGAGCAGGAACAGAAGGAGAAGAAGCUAGAACAGGAGGGGAGAUAUCAGGAUUGAAAUAGGGAGUGAAGGUAGAGUCAGUUGAGUCUGGAACAGUAUAAGGAGGUACUUGCACAGAUGUAGGAGAAAGAGGAGAGGAGGUGGGAAUGGGAGAAUCAGAAUCAUCAUCAUAUUCUACAGAUGGAACAAAAGGAAAGGAUAAAGCAGAAGGAUGAGCAGAAGAAGAGACAAUUUUAAAAGGAAAACAGGAUUCAUGAAACAUAACAUCCCUGGAAACCAAACAUUUCUUUGAAGCAAGAUCAUACAAUUUUUAACCUUUCUUGGCAAAAGGAUAACCCAGGAAAACACAAGGAAGGGUUCUUGGCCUUAACUUGUCCCUUUGAGGGAUUGGGACAGUAGCAUAGGCAAGGCAGCCAAAUGUUCUCAAAUGAGAAUAGGUUGGAACUUUCCCAUACAAGAUUUCAUGAGGAGAUUUAUUAUGAAGCAAUCUGGUGGGUAUUCUGUUAAGGAGGUAAGUGGCAGUCAACAAACAGUCCCCCUAGAAAGAUGCAGGCAACCCAGAUUGAAAAAGCAAAGCUCUACAAGUUUCAAGGAGGGUCUAUGCUUCCUCUCAACUACACCAUUCUGUUGAGGAGAAUGAGACCAGGUGGUUUGAUGUAUGAUCCCCUAACUACUAAAGAAAGAAGUACCCUCAAUGCUAGAUCCCAAUUCUAAAGCAUUGUCACUUCUAACAGUUCGAACCACAUUAUUAAAUUGGGUUUUACCAGAGAAAGGAAUGACUUAAGCAUAGAAAAAGCAUUGCUUUUUGAUCCCAGUAGGUGUGUCCAUGUUGCCCUUGAAAAGUCAUCAACAAUUGUAAGGAAAUAUUUACAACCAGAAGAGGUUGGAGUAUGAUAAGGUCCCCAGGGUUGCCCUAGAAAAAUCAUCAACAAUUGUAAGGAAAUAUCUACAACUAGAAGAAGUUGGAGUAUGAUAAGGCCCCCAAGUAUCCACAUGAAUCAAUUGAAAUAGUCUAGAGGUCUUAAUAGAACUGUCAGGAAAGGGGAGUCUAGUCUGUCUUGCCAUAAGACAGACAGAACAUGGAAAAUGUUGUUUAGAAGCAAAUGGAAAAGACAAACCAGAAAUAUGUCUCAUAUUUGUAAAUUGAGUAUGAGCAAGUCUUAAAUGCCAAAUGUAAUUCAUGUCAGUUGUAACAACAUUAUUACAGGUGGAACUAUAUACAUGUGAAGGAAAUGGAACAGCCUUGCUAUCAGACAAAAUGUCAUCAUUACAAGAAGCAGACACAGAAGGCAAUGGAGCAACCUUGUUAUCAGACAAAAUGUCAUCAUUACAAGAAGCAGACACAGAACAAACAGAAGUAGAGGAACAAUUAAUAGAGGAAGAAGGGGAAGGAGGAACCCAAGCCAGUUUAUAUAAGCCAGCAGCUUCUCUACCAAGAUCCAGAGGCCACAAAAGUUGAGGAACAAUUAAUAGAGGAAGAAGAGGAAGGAGGAACCCAAGCCAGUUUAUAUAAGCAAGCAGCUUCUCUACCAAGAUCCAGAGGCCUCCUCAGAGAAGGGUCCUGUAUCAUGUGGAGUAAAAGCCAGCAGCUUCUCUACCAAGAUCCAGAGGCCUCCUCAGAGAAAGGUCCUGUAUCAUGUGGAGUAAGCAUGAAUAUUCAGUGAACAAAACUAUACAAUGCAACUGCUUCACUAACUUAUAGACAGAAAUCAAGUUGUGUUUAAAAGAAGGAACCAGCAGUACAUUGUGAAGAGUGAUAGAAGGAGUCAGUGCAAAAGAACCUGUGCAUGUUACUUUCACUUUAUAGCCAUUAGGAAGAGUGACAAGAUAAAGCAGAGUUAAAGGUGUGAUGUUAAAAAGUAACUUUUUAUCAUGUGUCAUGAGAUUAGAGGCACCUGAAUCUAUAAUCCAGGUGACAGAAUUAAUAUUGGUAAGCAUGCAGAGUUNNN
rnacentral:lncRNA from 1 species